CCUACGGGAGGCAGCAGUAGGGAAUCUUCCGCAAUGGACGAAAGUCUGACGGAGCAACGCCGCGUGAACGAUGAAGGCCUUCGGGUCGUAAAGUUCUGUUGUUAGGGAAGAACAAGUGUUAGUUGAAUAAGCUGGCACCUUGACGGUACCUAACCAGAAAGCCACGGCUAACUACGUGCCAGCAGCCGCGGUAAUACGUAGGUGGCAAGCGUUGUCCGGAAUUAUUGGGCGUAAAGCGCGCGCAGGCGGUUUCUAAGUCUGAUGUGAAAGCCCCCGGCUCAACCGGGGAGGGUCAUUGGAAACUGGGAAACUUGAGUGCAGAAGAGGAAAGUGGAAUUCCAAGUGUAGCGGUGAAAUGCGUAGAGAUUUGGAGGAACACCGAGUGGCGAAGGCGACUUUCNGGUCUGUAACUGACGCUGAGGCGCGAAAGCGUGGGGAGCAAACAGGAUUAGACACCCUGGUAGUCCACGCUGUAAACGAUGAGUGCUAAGUGUUAGAGGGUUUCCGCCUUUAGUGCUGAAGUUAACGCAUUAAGCACUCCGCCUGGGGAUACGGUGCAAAGCUGAAACUCAAAGAUUAGNGCGNGNGAGNGCGACGACGACGACGAGGAGGAGGAG
rnacentral:rRNA from 1 species